GACGAACGCUGGCGGCGUGCUUAACACAUGCAAGUCGAACGGAAAGACCCUGCUUUUGUGGGGUGCUCGAGUGGCGAACGGGUGAGUAACGCGUGAGUAACCUGCCCUUGACUUUGGGAUAACUUCAGGAAACUGGGGCUAAUACCGGAUAGGAGCUCCUGCUGCAUGGUGGGGGUUGGAAAGUUUCGGCGGUUGGGGAUGGACUCGCGGCUUAUCAGCUUGUUGGUGGGGUAGUGGCUUACCAAGGCUUUGACGGGUAGCCGGCCUGAGAGGGUGACCGGCCACAUUGGGACUGAGAUACGGCCCAGACUCCUACGGGAGGCAGCAGUGGGGAAUAUUGCACAAUGGGCGGAAGCCUGAUGCAGCAACGCCGCGUGCGGGAUGACGGCCUUCGGGUUGUAAACCGCUUUCGCCUGUGACGAAGCGUGAGUGACGGUAAUGGGUAAAGAAGCACCGGCUAACUACGUG
rnacentral:rRNA from 1 species